ACACAAGGUUAGGCUGUGAAACACAAGCCAAUUGGAAUCGGGUGUAGUUAGCUCUUAACCCUAACAUUGAGAGUUAGGGUGAAGCAGAUGAAAUGGGAAGUGAGGGUAAGACCUCACAGCUCUUAUCCCAUGUAGUUAGCUCUUAACCCUAACAUUGAGAGUUAGGGUGAAGCAGAUGAAAUGGGAAGUGAGGGUAAGACCU
rnacentral:lncRNA from 1 species